rnacentral:rRNA from 1 species
GUGAGGAAUAUUGGUCAAUGGGCGGGAGCCUGAACCAGCCAAGUCGCGUGAAGGAAGAAGGAUCUAUGGUUCGUAAACUUCUUUUGCAGGGGAAUAAAGUGCAGGACGUGUCCUGUUUUGUAUGUACCCUGAGAAUAAGGAUCGGCUAACUCCGUGCCAGCAGCCGCGGUAAUACGGAGGAUCCGAGCGUUAUCCGGAUUUAUUGGGUUUAAAGGGUGCGUAGGUGGUUUGAUAAGUCAGCGGUGAAAGUUUGCAGCUUAACUGUAAAAAUGCCGUUGAAACUGUCGGACUGGAGUGUAAAUGAGGUAGGCGGAAUGCGUGGUGUAGCGGUGAAAUGCAUAGAUAUCACGCAGAACUCCGAUUGCGAAGGCAGCUUACUAAGCUACAACUGACACUGAAGCACGAAAGCGUGGGGAUCAAACAGGAUUAGAAACCCUGGUAGUCC